GACGAACGCUGGCGGCGUGCCUAAUACAUGCAAGUAGAACGCUGAAGGAGGAGCUUGCUCUUCUGGAUGAGUUGCGAACGGGUGAGUAACGCGUAGGUAACCUGCCUGGUAGCGGGGGAUAACUAUUGGAAACGAUAGCUAAUACCGCAUAACAGUAGAUGUUGCAUGACAUUUACUUAAAAGGUGCAAUUGCAUCACUACCAGAUGGACCUGCGUUGUAUUAGCUAGUUGGUGGGGUAACGGCUCACCAAGGCGACGAUACAUAGCCGACCUGAGAGGGGGCUCGGCCACACUGGGACUGAGACACGGCCCAGACUCCUGCGGGAGGCAGCAGUAGGGAAUCUUCGGCAAUGGACGGAAGUCUGACCGAGCAACGCCGCGUGAGUGAAGAAGGUUUUCGGAUCGUAAAGCUCUGUUGUAAGAGAAGAACGAGUGUGAGAGUGGAAAGUUCACACUGUGACGGUAUCUUACCAGAAAGGGACGGCUAACUACGUG
rnacentral:rRNA from 1 species